AUGCAGACGAUGCUAACUAUGGAGACUUUGCUCUCUGGGCCUCCACUGAUGAAGGAGCGACAGACGAGUCAGACGGUUGGGACUGGCACCAGGCGUAGGGGGCUUUGGUACAUGGACCAGGAGGUGCAGCCGGACUUGGUGUGUGCUGCGACCAUGGAGGACAAGGAGAAGGAGGCGAUGAUCCAUCACUGUAGGAUGGGACAUGUAUCUUUUGAUAAGAUGAGUAGAAUCUUUCCGGAUGUUAUGUGUGGGAUAGGCAAGGGCAAGUUGACAUGUGAUGCUUGCGAAUAUUCCAAACACACACGAGCCUCAUAUGUGAGUAAGGGGCUUAGGAGCAUAUCUCCUUUUAUGCUUAUUCAUUCGGAUGUAUGGAAGAGCCCAGUUGUAUCAAUGAAUGGAAUGAAAUACUUUGUUACAUUCAUCGAUUGCUAUUCUCGUAUGACUUGGAUUUAUUUGAUGCGUCACAAAGAUGAGGUGUUUAGCUGUUUUCAGAAUUUCCAUGCCUUGGUGAAGAAUCAGUUUCAGGUGCAGGUGCAGGUGAUCAGGACUGACAAUGGGACAGAGUAUGUGAACAACACAUUUGGGGCUUACUUGUCUGAUCAAGGUAUUCUUCAUCAAACUUCAUGCCCAGACACCCCUCCUCAGAAUGGAGUGGCAGAAAGGAAAAAUCGGCAUAUUCUUGAGGUUCCCCGGUCAUUGAUGUUUACGAUGAAUGUGCCCAAAUUCUUGUGGAGUGAAGCAGUUAUGACAGCCACAUACUUGAUCAACAGGACACCAUCAAGAAUACUAAGCAUGAAAUCUCCGUGUGAGCUAGUAUAUGGAGAAACUAAGUUUGUUGUUCCCCCAAAGUUGUUUGGCAGUACUUGUUUUGUUCGAGAUCACUGUCCUUCUGUUGGAAAACUUGAUCCGUGGGCAGUGAAGUGUAUUUUACUGGGCUAUUCUUCUAGUCAGCAGGGAUAUAAAUGUUGGUGUCCCUCAGAGAAACGCAGGUUUGUCAGUAUGGACGUAACCUUCAGGGAGUCUGAGCCAUUCUAUGGUGAGCCAACAGAUCUAAGUAUGUUGUUUCAAGAGCUUGACCAUUUCCACUCUGUGCAAGAUGGUCAAGAGGGGGAGAAGGCUGUAUCUCACACUCACGCGGAUUCUGUGGGCACUAACAUUGAUGAUGAUGAUGUGCAGGUUCAAGUCCAGCCAAUUGUGGGUACAAUUUCGGUUGGUACUCUCACUGGUGGUGAUGUGCAGGUACGGGUCCAACCAACCGUGGGUUCCAUUCAGAUUGGUAAUCUCCAGCUCCCUGUUCGAGAUCGGUGGCAGAAGAUCCCCCUAGUGUACUCUCAGCGAGAGCCACAAGUGCCACAGUGCAUGACUCAUCUGACACUCGUCUGGUAUAUUCUCGGCGGCAGCCACUUGUGCAGGAGGGGGAGCAACAAGUGCAGGGGGAGCAGUCAGUGCAGGGGGAGCAGCAAGGCAGUGGUGCAAGCUCAUCUGACACAGUGGAGCUACCUAUUGCGUUGCAAAAGGGGACACGUGAAGCGGCUGAGAAGGCUUUACCACUAG
rnacentral:rRNA from 1 species